CCCGCCACUGUGCCUUUUCCUCCUCUGUAGGCUGGUGCAAUCCAGUGGUGAGCUGAGAGUAACCCCAGCUUAGGAAACAGGGUUAUCCUGCGUGUGAAUGACUCUGUGCCGAGAGCAUGGGAACAUAC